rnacentral:rRNA from 1 species
GAUGAACGCUGGCGGCGUGCUUAACACAUGCAAGUCGAACGAAGCAUUUAAGCGGAAGUUUUCGGAUGGAAGCUUUUAUGACUGAGUGGCGGACGGGUGAGUAACGCGUGGGUAACCUGCCCUAUACAGGGGGAUAACAGUUGGAAACGACUGCUAAUACCGCAUAAGCGCACAGGACCGCAUGGUCUGGUGUGAAAAACUCCGGUGGUAUAGGAUGGACCCGCGUCUGAUUAGCUAGUUGGCAGGGUAACGGCCUACCAAGGCGACGAUCAGUAGCCGACCUGAGAGGGUGACCGGCCACAUUGGGACUGAGACACGGCCCAAACUCC